CCGGACUCUGGGUGUUUUGCUACCGUGACCGUUUAGAAACAGAGUCUCGCUCUGUCGCCCAGGCUGGAGUGCAGUGUGGCCCGAUCUCAGCUCACUGCAACCCCCACCUCCCGGGCUCAAGAGAUCCACCCACCUCAGCUUCCCAAGUAGCUGGGACUACACGCGCCCGCCACCACAACCGGCUAAUUUUUGUACUUUUAGUAGAGACCAGGUUUCACCAUGUUGGCCAGGCAGGUCUCGAACUCUUGACCUCAAGUGAUCCGUCUGCCUCGGCCUCCCAAAGUGCUGGGAGUACAGGCGUGAAUCACCGCGCCCGGCCACAUUUGGUAUUUCUCUGUUUGUGUUAUAGAGACAGGGUCUUGCUCUGCCACCCAGGCUGGAGUGCAGUUGAAGCAGGAUAUUCCUCUGACCCCUUCGUGGGUCUUGCGGCUGCGGUGCCUCACUUACUUAGCCCACGGCUCUCAACUCCUCGCGGGAGGGGGGGCGCGAGUGAAUGAGGCGGGAACUGGAGUGCUGGAAGCCACGAACUCCAGUCACCCAGGCCUGCUGCGCUCCACCCUUUAUGGGAGGGUGCGUGGGGGUGAGCAGAUGCUGGAGCCGGAGCGAGCGCUUUUGGUCGCCGGUAGGAGCGAACUCCAUGCAGGCCCUGCGGCUGUGUCUAGGGGAUGCCCGCGACCCCUGAAGACCCACAGCCUGUCUUACAACCUGUCAUGGUUGUGAAAAGUUUUGAGAGAACGUCUGCACAGUGUCUAACGGUGUCUGGUAUAUAGUGUGCACUCAAAUGAAACUGUUCAUACUUGGUGCGCUGUGGACUCUUGUGAUAAUUAACCAAGAGUAGCUCUAUUUGUCCAACCUCACACCUAAAGAAGAAAGAAAAUGGCUUGUGCUGAGUUUUCUUUUCAUGUACCAAGUCUUGAAGAGCUUGCUGGAGUUAUGCAGAAGGGGUUAAAAGAUAACUUUGCUGAUGUCCAGGUCUCUGUAGUUGAUUGCCCUGAUUUGACUAAGGAACCCUUUACCUUUCCUGUAAAAGGCAUCUGUGGGAAAACUAGAAUUGCAGAAGUUGGAGGUGUGCCUUACUUAUUGCCUCUUGUAA
rnacentral:lncRNA from 1 species